CUGCUGCCGGAUGGGAGUGCCCGGGCGCGUCUGUGUCGCAGGAGGUCCGCACAUGCACCAUGUCAUCAUGCGUCUCUAGCCAGCCCAGCAGCGACCGGGCCGCCCCCCAGGAUGAGCUGGGGGGCGGGGGCGGCAGCAGCAGCAGCGAAGGUCAGAAGCCCUGUGAGGCCCUGCGGGGCCUCUCCUCCCUGAGCAUCCGCCUGGGCAUGGAGUCCUUCAUCGUGGUCACCGAGUGUGAGCCCGCCUGCGCCGGGGACCAUGGCCUGCCCCGGGACCGGCCCCUGCAGGCGCAUGGCGGAGAGAUCACCCUUGACAACUCUGGGUCUCAGGCCCGGCCCCUCCUCUCCAGUCGCAAGCUCUCUCUGCAGGAGCGGUCCCUGCUGGAUGCCAAUGGGCGCUGCGUCUGCCCCGCACUGCCCCACUCGCCAGUGGGCUCCCCGCAGUCCUCGCCGCGGCUGCCCCGGCGCCCCACGGUGGAGUCACACCACGUCUCCAUCACUGGGAUGCAGGACUGUGUACAGCUGAAUCAGUACACACUGAAGGAUGAGAUUGGAAAGGGCUCGUAUGGCGUGGUCAAGUUGGCCUACAAUGAAAAUGACAAUACCUACUACGCAAUGAAGGUGCUGUCCAAAAAGAAACUGAUCCGACAGGCGGGCUUUCCACGUCGCCCCCCUCCCCGAGGUACCCGACCAGCCCCCGGGGGCUGCAUCCCGCCCAGGGGCCCGAUUGAGCAGGUGUACCAGGAAAUUGCCAUCCUCAAGAAGCUGGACCACCCCAAUGUAGUGAAGCUGGUGGAGGUCUUGGAUGACCCCAAUGAGGACCAUCUGUACAUGGUGUUUGAACUGGUCAACCAAGGGCCUGUGAUGGAAGUGCCCACCCUCAAACCACUCUCUGAAGACCAGGCCCGUUUCUACUUCCAGGAUCUAAUCAAAGGCAUCGAGUACUUACACUACCAGAAGAUCAUCCACCGGGACAUCAAACCUUCCAACCUGCUGGUGGGAGAAGAUGGGCACAUCAAGAUCGCGGACUUUGGUGUGAGCAAUGAGUUCAAGGGCAGCGAUGCCCUUCUCUCUAACACUGUGGGCACGCCGGCCUUCAUGGCUCCUGAAUCGCUCUCGGAAACCCGGAAGAUCUUCUCCGGGAAGGCACUGGAUGUUUGGGCUAUGGGUGUGACACUGUACUGCUUUGUGUUUGGUCAGUGCCCGUUCAUGGACGAGCGGAUCAUGUGUUUACACAGUAAGAUCAAGAGUCAGGCCCUGGAAUUUCCAGAUCAGCCUGACAUAGCCGAGGAUUUGAAGGACCUGAUCACACGCAUGUUGGACAAGAACCCUGAGUCGAGGAUCGUGGUGCCAGAGAUCAAGGCAGGGUCCCUGAGAGCCAGUGGCAACAGCCCCUCACCCCUCCUGUCCUUCGUUGAAGCUGCACCCCUGGGUCACGAGGCAUGGGGCGGAGCCGCUGCCAUCGGAGGACGAGAACUGCACACUGGUCGAGGUGACCGAAGAGGAGGUCGAGAAUUCGGUCAAACACAUUCCCAGCCUGGCAACCGUGAUCCUGGUGAAGACCAUGAUACGAAAACGCUCCUUCGGGAACCCGUUUGAGGGCAGCCGGCGGGAGGAGCGUUCCUUGUCAGCGCCUGGAAACCUGCUCAGCAAAAAACCAACCAGGGAGUGUGAGCCCCUGUCUGAGCCCAAGGAAGCAAGGCAGCGAAGACAGCCUCCAGGGCCCCGACCCGGCCCCCGUAGGGGAGGAGGAAGUGCUCUCAUGAAAGGCGGCCCUGGCGUGGAGAGUUGGGGGGUCCCAGGCCCCGGCUCCCUAGAGCACACUCAUCCUGCGCGGCCGGACGAGGUGAUGGAGUAGCCGCCGGACCGCCGCGACUGCGCAUGCACGUCUCACAUCCGCUGGCGGCGCCCUGUGUUUCCAUAGCAGCAUGUCCUACGGGAAACCGAGCACGUGUGUAGAGCCUUGACCGUCAUCUCUGGUUGUUUUGUUUUGUUUUUAGUUUGUUUGAUUUCUUUCUUGUUUUAAAGGGGACAAAAAAAAAAAAAAAUGACGACUCCAUGACAUCGACUUUGGCCGCUGGCUGGCUGAAUGGGCGGGUGUGAGGAGUUGCAGACCCAAAGCCACGUGCAUUGGGGGACAAUUGCUUUUUAAGACGUUUUUAUGCCAAAAAUCCUUCCUUGUGAACUCAGAAUGGUGUCAAGAGAUACCAAGUGAAUGUGUGAGGUUUGAACAUUGGGAAGAACUGGCAGGAAACUGGUGGUGUGGUCCAAGGCCACACUUGGCUGCAUUUGAAAGGGAGAGGAAAAGCAGGUGUGACUUCGUGCAAAACCCCAAACCGUGGCACCUUCUAGAAUGUGGAUUCAUGGAGUCAGGACAGGGUUAGCCCACAGUAUCAGCUGCAGCCUGAUUCGAUGCAACUUAUUCUUAAGAAGGACUAUAAAUUUUUUUAAUGAGUAGAGCUGUAAUCAGGAAAACAGAAAGGGCUUGAUACAUAAGAGCUUGGUGGAGGGCAGAUUUUCCAUUCCCAGAAGGGCAUUCAGUGGUUAUGGUGGGACGUCUCCCCUCAAGGAUUAAAUGAGUGUGUUUAUGACAGCCACUCAGAGCUGAAACUUUUCUCAAAUAGUUGAAGGAGCUCUAGUAAAUCUCUUGUUAAAUUACAGAAACUUCAGGGUGAAAUUAAAUCCUACACUUCCAUGUACGUUACAUGGCUUAAGAAUAAACAACAACAAAUACUUUAAAUUCUCUAACUAGUCUGAACUCUUGAGCAGUUCAGAAACCAUUUUGAGCUUCCAGGAGCUAUCCCAUGGCUUCAGGUGUGUGAUCACAGUUAGCGCCAAUGACAUCUAUCCUGUAUAUUAGCAGCUCAGCUUGCUUAUAACCUGUGUAUUCUAGAGGCUGCUAAGAUUCUGUUUUCUUCUUCAGCACUAGCUGAUUGUUGUAGUCAGUGAAACAGUUAUCCAGUUUGUGGAGGGCUAGUUAGGAAAUACUUUGAUUCAGCUGAGACAUAAAUGAUCAUCCUUAUUGGCAAAGCUCUGUUAGGAUCUAAACAAUAACUGUAGGGCACCCUUUUAGAGAAGAUUCUUGAAACCUAAAGCAGUCCUCGGAUCCAAUGCAACCAGGGCUUGGCACAGGAAGUCCCCUUUUGUAGCCAGCAGUCCAGAAAGAAAAAAGUGUAUGUUUUUGACUUCCAACUAACAUUGGGAAGUUCAAUUGCAGUUCAAGUGUGACUUCUUCCAGAGUCCUGUGUGGGUAACUGUGAGGUUCAAGAGGGAGGAAAAUUGGAAGGACUUGGCCUGGGGGAUUCCCAGUGCUUUGUGGAAUUUGCCUUGGGGAUCGGGAUCAGAAGCAUGAGCUCUUCUGUAGCUUCUGGCUGAUCUGUGCUGAAAGGGGCACUUUGUGCAGAGACAGAGCAGCAGGUCUGUGUCUGCUGCCAAGUAUGUUCACAGAGCUUCCGCAGAUCUUCGUCAGCUCUUGACUGUCGUUUAGCCAGACUCUUCUUUCUACCUUAUAAGCAGUACAGUUAGAGAAGGCUGGUUUCCAAGAGUCAAGGACACCCAUCUGAUGGAGGGUCCUCUGGCCUCUUUCUUUCUGUAAUCUAGUACUUCUUCCUCCUGUGCUUGUUUAAAUCUACAGGCUCCACCCCUCCUGGGAACAAAUGGGUCUGGUUAGUUUGCAAUAAGCACCUUGCAAUGGUUUAAGUCAACCUGCUCUUCGUCUUAGUCCGUGUGGACGCUGACCUGAUAGUGGGGGGCUCGCCCGGAGAGGCAGGGGCUGGUAGCAUGCAUAGCCUCUGCAGAACUCCUCCUGUGUUUACACAACUGCAUCGGGCGAUGCUAUUUCUCCGGCCAUGAAACUCUCCAUUGAAGAUUUCACAUGUGGAAAGCCAGCGAUCAGGCAGCACUGAACUGUUCAGGCAGGUGGGUUGGGGGAGGCCCAUGUUCAUUACUGUUGUUUUUUUUUUUUUUUUACACUAAGAAACACCAAAGAAAGCUGUGGAAAAGAACCACCCCACCGAGAAAAGGAUGAGCAAAGAGGGCUGUAACAGAAAGCAUUAGAGCUACUUGGAGUGCAGACUCUUGGGGUUUGUCUCCACUCUUAGAGCACAAACACUGACUUUUUCCCAAAGCCAACUCUGUCAGGAAAGGGCAGAAGCUGUUAUGAGCAGCUUUUCUACAUAAGCAAAAAGGAUGCCUAUCCUUCUCUUCCAUUACUGGCUCAUCUGUGGGACCAAUUUUUAAGCAAGCGGUGGCCUGCACCUGUGGCCUUGAAGAAGCACAUGUUCUCUACCCAUCUUUCUUCCACCCUGUUUCACUUCCCCAUCUGUUCCACAGCCUGGCCAGUGGCUCCCAUAAAGCCUUAUCUAGCCCCUUGCUGGCACUUGGGGCCGGAGAGGCCAUCUACCCGCUGGUCUGGCCUUUCUCGUAAGCUAGGGCUUUCGUCCUCCAAGCCUUUCAGGAUGAGGUGAAGAACUGUGCAAUGUAGACACAUAGGCUCCACCUGUCGCUCUCACCCAUCUUCCAAAGGGGAGCUUCACAUCACCAGGGGGAAGAACCAAGACUUCCACUCGCUUCCAAGGUGCUAGGGAAGGUUUCAAGGUUGUUGAUUUCAAUCUUCUCUCCAGCUUUACAGGCCGAGUUUCAUGGGACUACUGACUUUUCUAUUCUGUGGUUGAUUUCAUGCCCGAUGCUUCUGUUUUAUUCCUGAUCCUUUCUACUAUGCAUUUUCCUUUUAUCAGGUGUACAAAGUUAAAUACUGUGUAUUUAUCACUGAAAAGUACAUGAACUUAAGAGAAAAAUAAGCCUUCAGUGUUUUUCCACAAAUGUUUAAGCUUCUCUGUAAACUUGAAAUAAACAUUAAAAUGGUGCAAAGUCGG